AACGAACGCUGGCGGCAUGCCUAACACAUGCAAGUCGAACGAGACCUCCGGGUGUGCUUGCGCACGGGGGCGUAACGCGGGGGAAGCGGGACGUAGGCUCCGGAUAACACCUCGACGGGGGUGCUAAUGCCGGGAAAUGUACUCUGACAAAAGAUUGGUCGCCCGUGGUUGGGCACGGGUUGGUUUAGCCUGUGGGUAGGGUAAAAGCCUACGACGGCUACGAUCCAUAGCUGGUAUGAGAGGAUGGUCAGCGACUCUGGGACUGGGACACGGCCCAGACUAUUGCGGGAGGGAGCAGAGGGUAAUAUUGGAAAAUGGGCGAAAGCCUGAAGCAGCUAGGCCGGGUGAGUGAUGAAGGCGUUAGGGAUGUAAAGCUCUUUUACACGGGAUGAUAAUGACAGUACCGGGAGAAUAAGCACCGGCUAACUCCGUG
rnacentral:rRNA from 1 species